rnacentral:lncRNA from 1 species
CUUUGGCAAAUCAUGCUGCAGGACCUUAUGAGAUGGUGUCUGACUACUGUGAAUUCAAUGGUCUUUGAAUGUCAUGUUUUUCAAAUGGUAUCAGGGAUUUCGUAGAAGCCAAAGAGGUAAAUAAUGGGAAAAUGACUGAAAGGCAAAUUCUCACACAUCGUGUUACUGAUCUUCCUUUGCAGUCUGGAGCUGCAUGGGAGUAUUGGCUGUAAUCUAGGUCUCCUCACUUCCAGAAGGGUAGCAGGCCCAUGUGAACAGACCAGGGUCCAAGGCGAGCUGAACAUUUCCCAGAAUGGGCUUCCAUGGCAGGUGUGCAAGGCUUCCCUGGGAGUAGAAUUUGUGCGCAAGGGGAUCCCUGUAUGAUGACAAUUCCAAAUCAUUUAUUUACUGUGAGAUGUGCAUGCCUUCUAUCAGAUAUUGUGUAGGCCCACAAUUUGUUUUCAGUGCACAGCUUUUGAAAUACAGUUAUUUAAAUAGGCCUAGUGCUGUGGGGUGGGGGCAGUGGAGACUGAGACUGAGAGGAAAGGCCUGGACCUUAAGAAGAAGUGGACAGGAAUAAGAGAAAGGCCCUCGGGGUGAAGGAAAGUGGGUUGUACCAACAGGCAAACUUGAGCUUUGAAACACCAGGACGCCCAUCGCGUGAUGAGGGUGCUCCCCUCCCCCAGACCACCUCAGUGGGCUGAAGUUCAUCUGACAUUGGCUAUAGGGCUGGGGUUGUGCCUUCUGGAGUUUUCCUAUUGCCAAAGAGGGGAAUAUAGCUAAAUACAGAACAAAUGCAUGUUUGCAGUUUGCCAACAAGCAAGCAAGCAGUGAAGGAAUUGGGUGGCCUUCUGCAGGAAGCCAUUCCACACUUUGUGGAUGAAACUGUUCUCUCUCUUGUGGCCCCUGCAACACUUCUGGUGUCACUGGGUCACAAAGCAGGGCCUCAGUUGUGAACUGAAAGACCAAGCUAGAAAAGAUUUGGGGAGAUAUGUGGCUUGUUCUGCUUUGCUGAUGUUUUUAAGUCAAAGGGGGCUGAUUUGUUUCUUGGCUGCAGCACUACAUUGUCCUUUUCGUGGUAGAAAUCAUGUUGAGGGCCAGGUUAACCCCUCCCCCUCAAAACCCCCCAGUCCCAGUCCAUAUGGGGCCCCUUUGAAGCUGCUUUUAGUGCUGGAAGAAACUGAAGAAAUCUAGUGAUGAAUCUCCUAGUACUGAUCAUAUAGCAUGCAUUGUUUUAAUAUCUAUGUUUUUGGAUCAGAAUGAUUUAGAAAAGAGUCUUGAAUAUAAUGUUUUCCCUUUCAUGACAGUUGCAUUUAUGAUACACAUACUGCAGUGUCUGUCCAUAAACAUCCCAUCUUGGAAAGUUAUUUAGAAGCCUCAGCUGAAUCCGCCCAGUUCAACAAAAGGUCACCUGUUGAAUGUCACAGCCACUAACAUUUGUAUUUUCUGACUAAGUGCACACUGUCUGUCCAAGGCCCAGCAAAAGGGGGAAACAGCUUUUCACAAAACAAAAACAAAAUUCACCUGUUGUUCUUGUAUAACUGGAAAUUCAAGCAGAACAAAAGAGACUGAGCCACUGUUGUUCCUGGUGUACCAUCUCCGCUUUUCUUUAUUUUUAUUCUACUUUAACCAGUUUAUAACCAGUUUUUCAGGUGAGAUUUUCAAAGACGUGUGCAAAGAAAUAUUUCCAAAUACAGCAUAAAAUCAUAAAACCAAAGCAACUAUUGCAGGGAGGAAAGUUAAAACGGAAAAGUUCUGAAUUCAGAGCAGCAACUAAAAAUAAAAGCCUGCUGAAAACAAAACAAAAAAAAUCUUAACUAUCUAGUUGUACCCUGUGCAGGCCAUGUAUAUGGGUGUGAACUUUCUUUCAGAUAACCAAAUGCCAAAGUGUUUGGGGAUUUAAACUGAGCCCAGAAACGGUUAGGUGCCUAUGAAAAGGAAACCAGAUUGUUAUUAAUAGUAUAUUUAAUAGAGUGGCCUGUUUAGCAAUGGUUGCUUUAUUAAUACAAUGCAGUUUUGACAAGAAAAAGAGGUUUUAUUCACCAAAACAUCAGUUUGUUGCUGUUUUAUCGGCUGCUGAUAUUAGGGUUUGACUAUGUCUAGUGCUCUUUUACUGUUUGCUCUAAAUGCCCUGUUGUUUUAUUUUGUUGUUCAAUUGUUUUAUGUUAUCUUUUACACUUUUACUCCAACCCAUCCCAUCCCACCAUGUUAUUUGAUCAAAUUAUCCAAGUAUGUUUGCCUUUUUAUUUCUAAACUAGCCUGAAAACUAAACAACACCUGGCAGAGAGAUGGUUCCAGAGCUUGUUUAGCAGUGGCUACCCACAUCAUAUUUGCUGAGACCACCAAAAGAUUCCCAGUGCCAAAGUUUAAGGAACAGAAUCAGGCACUGAAAAUAGUUUUGGCAGUCCCACUGUCUGUCAGCAGGUGGGCCCUACUGAACAGGUUUUUCUGAUGGUGGCAGCUACUGUAAGCUCUGGAACCAGCUCCUUGCUGCAGUUAAGAUAUCAUCCAUCUAUUUGGCUGCCUUUGAAAUCAGGUAUUGUUUGGCCUUCUUCUGUUUUGGCAAAACGACAAAAGGAUGGGAGUAUUCUUCAAGUGUAUCUUAUCCAGCAGUUUCUCCCAUCUCCUACUGAUGUUUUACAUGAAGUGUGGAACACGGUUUGUCCCAUUCCUGUGAGCCCUAUUCCUGUGGGCUCUUUGGGUUUAGCUUCCUCAGUAAUUAUGCUAAUAAGCCACAUUCUGCCACUUAAUACUUGGAUCUGCAACUUGGAUUUUUCUACUUCAAAUUAACUUAAAAAUCAGCAAGAGUGAACAGAAUUGGUCAUAUGGAGAUAAACAUUAAAAGAACACAUUUUACUUUGAUUUGCUAUCUACUGCAUAUAUGAUUAUAUUUGCAUAUGAGUCCCUGUUAGGGAAAAAGGGUAUAAAUAAAAAUAUGAAAACAACAACAACACCUCUGGUUCUACCAGAUGUGACCAACAUACAAGCUUUGGGUAACUACAAUUAUCUUCUGUGGAAGCAGUAAGUAAAAUGACUAUGCUAGAAAGAUGACUUUCUGACAGAUACUGGAAGAAGGUAGUUUUUUCUGAAAAGCAUUGAGUUGCAAAGGUUUGCAGGCAGAUAGCUGUGGCAGAACUGACAACCUUUUUUUGGUGUAACAACCCAGGAAUCUUGAGCAAAAAAGUGUGAAUGGUCUGUCAGGACACUGAACUCUUCUCUUAACAGUGAUCCUGGGAACAUAUCAUAGAUGCUCAAUGGUAUCUGAAUACUUGUUUCAUGAUGGUCCAUGUAAAUUCAAGUAUGUAGUUCGUGAUAUGACACAUGGCUGUUUUUAUGUCAGAUUUCACAUCGAGGGGUAGGAAGAGGUCCUGUUAUUUGUUUGGCAUUGCCCAGUUCAAAACAGGGGACACUUAAAUCAAGAACCCCCUCGUGUGAUUUAUGAGGUGACACAGUCACAUGAGAGGAGUAUAUUAUGCCAGAAGCUUCUUGUUUGAAGUUACUUAAGUUGUAAUUUAAACAAGUGAUACAGAGUAUUGCCUGGAACUGUUGAAAAUGAACUGGAGAGCUGACAUGGCAAAUAAAUGCAUGUCCCAUUUCUUGUGAAGCUCAGUGCAAAUGUACUUUAGCACUACCUAAACCCUGAGUCUUACCUCAGCAUUAAUGCAGCAUCAAUAGUUUGGACUUUAAUACCAAUAAGUAUUGCCACUGCAGAAAGACAAUUUAGCAUCCUUUGAAGGGUAAACUCUUGGGUGAUGAAAGGAAUAAAUGAGAUACCUCAGUUGUACGUGGUGUGCUUUAUAAAGCACCUCCAUAGGCUGCAGCAGAGGAGCAGUAAUAAGAGCCAUUUCCUCAUAUACUAAUUAAUGUCCCACUGCUACUUGGGAUUACUGUUGCUUACUGCUUGGAAGGUAAUGUGAUGCUGAAAAACAUGAAAUAAAACUAACAAUUGAAAAAUAUGACUAAGAGCCAAAAGCUUUAAGAGGGGGGUUGUUGGGAAUACUGUUAGUUCUAUGUUUUGCCCUUACAAUGUAUAAAUCACUUAAAACCACUAGGCAUAGUACUUUUAAAAAAAGAAAAAGCAACAGGCCCCGUUCACAUGCUUUCAGUGUAAAUGGCAUGUUAUAUAGACUACUGCCAAACCCAUUUACCUCUUACCCACACACUUCCACAUAAACGUUUGGUGAAAGAAUUAUGUGAUGUCAUAACGGGAAGCUUUCCCUACCCUUUGCAAAUAGCAGUCAGUGUGUUUCUUUUACCAGCUAUGACCAAGGAGCUGUGCAGCCAAGUGCUUCCCAUAACAUUGCGUUAGGCCCUGAGAAAAGAGGUCACCACAAAGGCUCUGCCCAUGUGCACAAAUUCCAUGUUGUGGGAUUUCCAUUCCUUUAAGUAGUUCAGUCGGCUCACGCUGAGAUACAUGCUUUCUUCAAACUGGUACAAUUCUACUGAUACUGAAGCAGCCCGAGUUUCCUUAAUGUCUUCAUUUUCCAAUGUUACUGUCUUUCAGCAAAAACAACAUUCUUUAAGGUAUCAUCACCAUCUUCAAUUAUCUGAAAGGCUGUCACGUGGAGGAUGGAACAAGCUUGUUUUCUCCUGUUCCAGAAGCUAGAACCAGAACUUAUGAAUCCAAGUUACAAGAAAGGAGAUUCUGACUAAACAUCAGGAAGAACUUUCUGGCAGUAAGAGCUGUUCAACAGUGGAAUGGACUCCCUCAGAAGGUGGUGGGCUCUCCUUCCUUGGAGGUUUUUAAUCAGAGGUUGGAUGGCCAUCUGUUAUGUAUGGACUAGUUGAGAUUCCUGCAUUGGGGGGUUGGACUAGAUGACCCUAGGGGUUCCUUCCAACUCUACAAUUCUAUGGUUCUAUGAUUCUGUGAUUCUAAGGUGCCACAAAUAGUCUUUGCUGUUUUUGCUAAUGUCAAUUAUGUCAGUG